AUUGAACGCUGGCGGCGUGCCUAAUACAUGCAAGUCGAACGGAGUGGCGCACGGGUGAGUAAUGUAUAGCUAAUCUGCACUACACUAGAGGACAACAGUUGGAAACGACUGCUAAUACUCUAUAGUGUAGUAGGAGGAUAUAUUUUAUCAGCUAGUUGGUGCGGUAAUGGCUCACCAAGGCUAUGACGCAUAACUGGUCUGAGAGGAUGAUCAGUUACACUGGGACUUAGACACUGUUCAGACUCCUACGGGAGGCAGUAGUAUGGAAUAUUGCUCACUGGGGGAAACCCUGAAGCAGCAACGCCGCGUGGUGGAGGACACUUUUCGGAGCGUAAACUCCUUUUGUUAGGGAAUCUGUACCUAACGAAUAAGCACCGGCUAACUCCGUGCCAGCCGCCGCGGUAAUUC
rnacentral:rRNA from 1 species